CAGCGCAGCGCGGGGCGCAGCGGGAGCCAUGGGGAACCGCGUCACCCGUGAGGACUUCGAGUGGGUCUACACGGAGCAGCCUCAUACGCAGCGCAGGAAGGAGAUCCUGGCAAAGUAUCCAGAGAUCAAGACUCUGAUGGGACCUGAUCCACAUUUAAAGUGGAUUGUAUCUGGAAUGGUUUUCACGCAGCUUCUGGCAUGCUACCUGGUGAAAGACUUAUCUUGGAAAUGGAUUUUCUUCUGGGCUUAUGGUUUUGGGGGUUGCAUCAACCAUUCGCUGACCUUAGCCAUCCAUGAUAUUUCACACAACGUCGCCUUUGGGAACAAGCAGGCCAAGUGGAACCGAUGGUUCGCAGUCUUUGCCAACUUGCCGAUUGGUGCCCCUUACUCUGCCUCCUUCAAGAAAUACCACAUUGACCAUCACCGGUACCUGGGAGGGGACAGCUUGGAUGUGGACAUUCCCACGGACUUUGAAGGCUGGUUUUUCUGUACACCCCUUCGGAAACUGCUUUGGCUUUUCCUCCAACCUCUGUUCUACAGUCUGAGGCCACUGUAUGUGAACCCCAAAGCGAUUACACAGAUGGAAAUUUUCAAUGCUCUUGUACAGUUUUCUGUAGACCUUAUCAUUUACUACCUUUGGGGACUCAAACCUGUUAUUUAUUUAAUAGCAGGUACACUUCUUUGCUUGGGUGUACAUCCCAUUUCUGGGCACUUCAUAGCAGAACACUACAUGUUCUUAAAAGGGUAUGAGACAUACUCUUAUUAUGGACCUCUGAACUGGCUCACCUUUAAUGUAGGAUACCACAUGGAGCAUCAUGACUUCCCCAGCAUUCCUGGAUGCAGAUUGCCCAUGGUGAAGAAGAUUGCAGCGGAAUAUUAUGAUAACCUCCCACAUCACCAGUCCUGGAUUCGAGUUCUGUGGGACUUUGUUUUUGAUGACUCUAUUGGUCCUUACUCAAGGGUUAAGAGACGGUGCAAGCUGGCAAAGGAAAGCUAAUGGGCUGGUCCGCCUGUGGUAGUGGGGUGUGUUUUUCCACACUUGACUUCAGUUUUCACAUGACUUCAGUUUUCUGCGGAAAUAGGAGGAUCUCUGUGUGUGCUGAAUUAAUGUUGGUGCAUGCUGCUUAGACCAAGAGGAUGAGUGUGAUAAUUAAGCAAUUGAAUGCACUAUUUUAGACCACUGAUACUUUUUAAUAAAGGAUGUUUGUGUAUGUAAUCCUCAGAAACUAGGUUAGAUUGAAUUAUGAUUAGGUGAACCUUUGGUCUAGGCUUUGAAUUAACUUCCUGGGGCACACAUGCCCAAGCCUGAGUUUUGGCCUGGUCUGCAGUGGAGAAUGUUUGCUGUGUGUUACAUGUGAUCAUGUGCGUGUGUGUAGUUGAAGACUAGUUUCUCUUCAUGCCAGAUUAGAAGUGGAUGCUCUGCAUGCACAGGACUGUGGAAGCAGGGAGGACUGGCAUGCAAUAGUAAAUGAAACUCUCUGGAGAACACAAGGGUGCCUUUUGCUCAAUGUCUUGUCUAAUCUAAUAAUCUUCUGAUAAUUGCUAGUAACAGAGAUUUUGUAUAUGCAAUGAAAUAUGUUUAUAUUUUUGUAUAUUUGUAUCAUUAUUUUAGUAGCUGUUGUUUGAUCUUUAUUCCAGGGAUUUGUCUAAACCUUUUCUGAAUGCAUUUCCAUGAGGAUCUAAUACUCGCUGUAGCAAACUGACAGAUCUGAACUGUGGCAGGGAGAAAUCCUUCCUUUAGUCUUCCACCCGCUGCCCUGAGCAGCAGCAUGGAUGUGCCUCUGGAGGAACUGCCUGGUCCUUUCUCAUUCACCUUUUCAACUGUAUCCAUAACUUCAUGUUUCUCAUGCAUUUCCCCACUGUAAGUCCUUCUGGGAAUGGAGUUUCUAGUUUUAAUUGUUCCUUAUCAAGAUUGUUAGCACUCCUGAUCACCUUUCUUGAUCUCCUCUAUAUUAUACCCCUCUCUGUGCAUAGGAUUUAGGAAGGUGUGUCAGUGAAGAUGUAGAGAUGAUAUGGUGGUAUUUGUUCCUAACUGCUUUCAUAAUAAUGGUAAUUUUUUUCCUCUGUCAUUCAAGGGGCACUGACUUGGCAUUUGGGAAGCAUAUGAUACUCUAGCUAUAUAAAAUUGCCACUGAUUGUGUUAAGAGGAUGGAAUGUAGAGAUGGGGCUGCUUAUCUCCCUACAUCUCUUACUUGGUGCUAUUGACCUUCAUCUGUCAUUUCUGCCCACUGGAAGACACAAAUCUUCCUGCCUGUCCUCUCCAACAAUAAACUUGUGGCUAUCCUCAAUAAUUCCCUGUCAUCAAAAACCUUAAUCAGCAUACAUCUCUCCAAGCAGAACAAUAUCUUGGGAGUCAGGAAUUCAGAUGUUCAGAUGCCAUCUAGUAUCUUCUCAUCACCCUGGAAAGCUGGUGAAGUAUUUCUUUCCUUACUAAGUGGUUAAAAGAGAGAUCUGUAUAGGUGCUCUUGCCUUCUACCCCUCUAACAGUUUUUUUUUUCUUCUGGAAAUCCAUGCCUGUAACAAAGAAAAGGAUUAUUGUGCAGUCUCAUCAGUCUCUCAAAGUAUACAAUUAGACCUGGAAAGCCUGAUUUCCUCAAUAAACACAAUUUUGUUUCCUGCUCCAGAAGCACUGGAUCCAGUGAGCCAGUGUCCAUUCACUAGCCUGGCACACAGCCAAGCUAGCCUGCUGCAAUUUGGGUUCCCCCUCCUCCAUUUCCCCUUCCUCCAUUUUUCUCACCCAUCUGAUUUUGGCAAAUGGGUAAAAAAAUACCCAGAUAUGUUCAGCAGAGCAAGAUCCUUUGUAAUACAGGGCUGAAUACCAGUUAUUCAGAUAUGGCUUUGUGCUUUUGGAUA